UCAUAUAGAAAAUCAUUAGGUCUAUUUAAAAAGGAAGCUGGUUAGAUUCCAGCACGGUCCCGCCACUGUGUUUGCUUUAUAUCAAAGCAUAAGUCAGAUUACUUGCCUACUGAUAUUGUUUGAA
rnacentral:ncRNA from 2 species